rnacentral:RNase_P_RNA from 1 species
CGAGCCACCCGGGGUGAUCGCGGCAGACGACGAUCUGUCGAGGAAAGUCCGGGCUCCACAGGGCAGGGUGGUGGGUAACGCCCACCCGGGGAGACCCGCGGGACAGUGCCACAGAAAACAAACUGCCGAGAAAUCGGUGAGGGUGAAACGGUGAGGCAAGAGCUCACCGCGGCAUCGGUGACGGUGUCGGCACGGCAAACCCCACCCGGAGCAAGGCCAAGAAGACCGUGAGGUCGCGGACGUGUUCGAGGGCUGCUCGCCUGAGCGU